rnacentral:rRNA from 1 species
UCCGUAGGCGGGCAAUUAAGCCAGAGGUGAAAUCCCACAGCUCAACUGUGGAACUGCCUUUGAUACUGGUUGUCUUGAGUUACAGUGAAGUAGAUAGAAUAUGUAGUGUAGCGGUGAAAUGCAUAGAUAUUACAUAGAAUACCGAUUGCGAAGGCAGUCUACUAACUGUAUACUGACGCUAAUGGACGAAAGCGUGGGGAGCGAACAGGAUUAGAUACCCUGGUAGUC